ACGCUACCACCUGGAAGGAACUGCUGAAGCCCCCAGGUGUUCAGGGGCCAUUUCCCGGCAGGUUCCAUGCAGGAAGUGCCACACGGAGCUCAUCCCUGUGUCCAACUGGCUGCACAGACCACAGAGGUUCCUGGUGGUUAUUGACAUGCUCAAACCAGAGAACCUGGAAAGCAGUUCUGUGCUGCAGGGGUGUUCCUACAUGGACGUGCCAAGCUCUGCGAAGAAGGACUACCAGCUCACCUUCCUCUCCUACAAAGAAGGAGUCUUCAGGGCAAAGGUGACCUUCCUCAAUGAGACAACCGGAGAGUACUUGUUC